AUGGGGGUGGGCCUGUUGUCAUGGGGGAGGUGGUGGCGCUUGGUGGCUCCUGGCGGCCGAGGUAGUGGCAAAGGCGUUGGAGUUGGUCGUGGGCAGCGGCAGAUUUGGGAUUUAAGCAACUUCUUCCAAAGAAGAGUACCAGUGGAGCUGCUGCUGCAGCCCAAGAUCUUGAUCCAUAUCUGUAGACUGGAAUAUUGGUGGGGCAGCAAUCCACAGACACCUCACUUGGAUAGGUAAGUGAAAGAGAUAGUUGAGGGUAAGAAAACAACUUCUUCAAAGAAGAGUACCAGUGGAGCUGCUGCUGCAGCCCAAGAUCUUGAUCCAUAUCUGUAGACUGGAAUAUUGGUGGGGCAGCAAUCCACAGACACCUCACUUGGAUAGGUAAGUGAAAGAGAUAGUUGAGGGUAAGAAAAGUAUGUUGAGUGUUCUUUCUGUUUUUUACUUGGAUAAAAAAUAGGUGACUACCUUAAAAAAUUAAAUCCUUUAUCUUGGUAAAAACAAAACAUUUGUAAUCUUGAAUGGGGCAA
rnacentral:lncRNA from 1 species